rnacentral:rRNA from 1 species
GACGAACGCUGGCGGCGUGCUUAACACAUGCAAGUCGAACGGAAAGGCCCUGCUUUUGUGGGGUGCUCGAGUGGCGAACGGGUGAGUAACACGUGAGUAACCUGCCCUUGACUUUGGGAUAACUUCAGGAAACUGGGGCUAAUACCGGAUAGGAGCUCCUGCUGCAUGGUGGGGGUUGGAAAGUUUCGGCGGUUGGGGAUGGACUCGCGGCUUAUCGGCUUGUUGGUGGGGUAGUGGCUUACCAAGGCUUUGACGGGUAGCCGGCCUGAGAGGGUGACAGGCCACAUUGGGACUGAGAUACGGCCCAGACUCCUACGGGAGGCAGCAGUGGGGAAUAUUGCACAAUGGGCGGAAGCCUGAUGCAGCAACGCCGCGUGCGGGAUGACGGCCUUCGGGUUGUAAACCGCUUUCGCCUGUGACGAAGCGUGAGUGACGGUAAUGGGUAAAGAAGCACCGGCUAACUACGUG